AAAAAACAGUUUUUUUAACUUAAGAUCAUGAUAUAUCACUAAUUUUAUUGAAUGAUUAUAAUAUAGUUUGUAAAUUACAUGUCGAGAAGAACGACUAGAUUACCCGUAAAACGGACAGUUAAGAAAAACGGUUGAUAAGAUUCAAAUUUUCAAUUUAAUGAAAGCUUUAAUAAAAUUUGAUAAUUUUAAUUUUAUCUAAUAAAGUUAUCACCGCUAUUUUUGAAAUUUCCUAUGAUUU
rnacentral:misc_RNA from 1 species